UCCGAGCAGGGUCGAUAGAGGGAAGAAAGCUUGUUGAAAAAAAUAGUAAUAAUAAGAGUAACCAUCUGGAGAAACAGAACAAAGGGGAAAAAUUUUUUUUUAAAGUGGUUUGAAGGGAGAGGGAAGAGAUGCGACCCAGAGGAAGGUGGCACUUAUUAAUAAAAGUGGGAAAAAUUACAUUAUAGGGUGUGUCUAUGUUUGGCUGCAUCUAAACACGAGGCUCCGGACGAGGUUUCGCCUUUUCACAGCUGCGGUGGGCGCAGCGACUUCCUUUGCAGCCGGGGAAAACUUUUCAAGACUGGCCCUUGUUCCCCUUCAACGUGACGUUGAUGUGGAAGCAGAAACAUCAACAUACCCGCAGCUGCUUUUCACGGCUCUCUUUGCGGAGAAGGAGGAGGUUCUCGUGCAACGUGUCCACCAGCGCCUGGAUGGCUUCGUUCUCCUCACGAAGCUGACGGAUCUGUUUCUCCAUAUCUUGCUUCCGCUCUUGAAGCAGACGAUUCUGCGAAGGAAGAGGUCAGAAAUGAGAUAAGAAGAAGGAGGGAACACUUCAAAGAUCAGCUCCAUAUCACCAUUCCCUGCUCAGUCAGUCCAGUGCCUCAUAUCCAGUUUUGGUUUGGGACAAGUAGACAUUGGGACGUUUUUCUUCCAAACCCAGAAAAUCUGGAAUAACACCGCAUACCUGUCUUUAUUGAUUUCUUUUUUUAAAUAAAGACAGAUAUCACCAAAGUGUGGUUGCCAACUCAGAUUGGGCAACUGAUUGUUCAUUUGUAAUAGGAGAUUCCACCAAGAAAAGAACAUUUAGCAAGAGCGCUUAGAUUUAUAUACCGCUUCAUACAGCACUCUCUAAGUGGUUUACAAAUGCCAGCAUUUUGCUCACAACAAUCUGGGUCCUCAUUUUACCAACCUUGGAAUGACUGAAAACUGAAUCAACCUUGAGCUGAGUCGGGAUCAAACUCCUGGCUGUAGGCAGAGUUAGCCUGCAAUACUGCAUUCUAACCACUGUGCCACCAUGGCUCCUAAUAUAUGUUUGUAACAAAUGAUGUUACCUCAUUUGGGUAAUGUAACAUCCGCAAGAAAUCAAUCAACCAAGGAUCCUCAAAUACAGCUUUUCAUCCUC